rnacentral:rRNA from 1 species
GAUGAACGCUGGCGGCGUGCCUAAUACAUGCAAGUCGAGCGAACAGACGAGGAGCUUGCUCCUCUGACGUUAGCGGCGGACGGGUGAGUAACACGUGGAUAACCUACCUAUAAGACUGGGAUAACUUCGGGAAACCGGAGCUAAUACCGGAUAAUAUAUUGAACCGCAUGGUUCAAUAGUGAAAGACGGGUUUGCUGUCACUUAUAGAUGGAUCCGCGCCGCAUUAGCUAGUUGGUAAGGUAACGGCUUACCAAGGCAACGAUGCGUAGCCGACCUGAGAGGGGGAUCGGCCACACUGGAACUGCAACACGGUCCAGACUCCUACGGGAGGCAGCAGUAGGGAAUCUUCCGCAAUGGGCGAAAGCCUGACGGAGCAACGCCGCGUGAGUGAUGAAGGUCUUCGGAUCGUAAAACUCUGUUAUUAGGGAAGAACAAAUGUGUAAGUAACUAUGCACGUCUUGACGGUACCUAAUCAGAAAGCCACGGCUAACUACGUG